rnacentral:rRNA from 1 species
GACGAACGCUGGCGGCGUGCUUAACACAUGCAAGUCGAACGGAAAGGCCCUGCUUUUGUGGGGUGCUCGAGUGGCGAACGGGUGAGUAACACGUGAGUAACCUGCCCUUGACUUUGGGAUAACUUCAGGAAACUGGGGCUAAUACCGGAUAGGAGCUCCUGCUGCAUGGUGGGGGUUGGAAAGUUUCGGCGGUUGGGGAUGGACUCGCGGCUUAUCAGCUUGUUGGUGGGGUAGUGGCUUACCAAGGCUUUGACGGGUAGCCGGCCUGAGAGGGUGACCGGCCACGUGGGGAGUGAGAGACGCCCGGGACGCGUCGGGGGGGCAGAAGGGGGGAAAGGGGCAAAGGGGGGGGACGCCGGAUGCAGCAGCCCGGGGGGGGGAAGAGGGGCUUGCGGUGGAAAAACCGCUUCCGCUGGGGACGAAGGGGGAGGGAGGUUAGGGGAUAAAGAGACCCCGGCUAGGUCCGGC